AUUGAACGCUGGCGGCAGGCCUAACACAUGCAAGUCGAGCGAGCGGCGGACGGGCGAGCAAUGUAUGGGGACUGCCCGACCGAGCGGGAUCACUACUGGAAACGGUGGCCAAUACCGCAUACUAUUGGAUAACCCAUAUGGGAUUAGCUAGCAGGUGGGGUAAAGGCACACAAAGACGACGAUCACUACCUGGUCUGAGAGGAUGAAGGGCCAAACUGGGACUGAGACACGGCCCAGACUCCUACGGGGGCAGCAGUGGGGAAUAUUACACAAGGGGCGCAAGCCUGAUGCAGCCAUGCCGCGGGUAUGAAGAAGGCCUUAGGGUUGUAAAGUACUUUCGGCAGGGAAGCGUUACCCACAGAGGAAGCACCGGCUAACUCCGUGCCAGCAGCCGAGGUAAUUC
rnacentral:rRNA from 1 species